UCCUAGAUGUAUAUCGACCACUGGAAGC
rnacentral:sRNA from 1 species